rnacentral:lncRNA from 1 species
UAAAACAAGGGAUAAGGGAAUUGAGAUCAGGAGCGGAGUAGCCAAAGCUCAAUCUAUAACAAGUCAGAUUUAGGUCCGGGAGUCUAAGAAAGGGCUCGGGCUACUAGGCCUAGUUCUAAUCCUGUUGUAGGGUAACCAAAUUAUGUUACCGCGUAGUCGUAUUCCUAGUUAUUAGUAAAAGCAUGAAACCAAGGAGAGUAAGGCCCAUAAUAAGUCAAGCAAGAGUUAGUACAAAGAGGGACACUGCUUUGCUUGCAGACUCCUGACUCACUGUUGACUUAGACGGCUUCCCUUUGACAAUGUAUGAUCUAUGAACUUCCAGAAAUGAAUCGCAACCCUGAUGAGCUUUCUUUCAUAUUUGUUGCAUAUCUUAACCCCGCUGCUCCCGUAAGCGCGCAAUAAACAGGACUUGCUCUUGCCUUCAACUCUCAAUCAGGGUCGAGCAAACAAACCUUGUGAGUUCUGUUGCCGCAAAGGGGAAGUCUAGUGAACCUUAAGAAUGCUUUGGAAGCCGGUAUAGUUCACCUUAAGAAUGCUUUGGAAGCCGGUAAGAUUAAUAAGAAAGGGAAGAGCUGUGUAUUUACUCCGUUCUAUCCAAGGACCGUGUACUCCAUAAUGAUAAUCCAUUCAUGGUUGACUCCGCGCUCUCCACAGAAUCCAUUAUUUCUGAAGCUACUGUUAUCGGUGCUAACUCUCCCCGGGGUGCCCAUCCAUAAAUGGUUGACUUUCCAGGGUGUCCCUUUUUAGCUUACUUUCGGGGAACAAGUCACACUUACUUUACUUGUGCUAACAUGUGUUCUUUGAAUGGAAGAAAUCCCUCUCGCAUAUUAUUGAAUAAGAGAAUUGAGGCUCAAGCAUAAGCCGGAGAAGAAUCAUAAUAAGGAAAGUGUUAUACAGAAAAGGAAGCAGUGCUUGUAAAGUAAACGAGAGAAGAAGUAGUUUCAUCCGUAUAAGGAGCAGGUGAGGAAGUUCGAGUUAAUGAUGGUGCUCCUACUCGGGCAGUUCCACUGUUCUUGUUCUAGGAUCAGAAGUAGGAGAAGUCAAGUCGACAAAAGAUGGAGCUGGAUCUGAAGCAGUGCUAGGAAAGUCGAAGUCAAGUUCUGAGAAAGAAGGAAGUACUGGUGUGGUG